rnacentral:rRNA from 1 species
UACGAAGGGAGCUAGCGUUGUUCGGAUUUAUUGGGUUUAAAGGGUGCGUAGGCGGCCUAUUAAGUCAGUUCUGAAAUAUCCCGGCUUAACCGGGAGGGUGGGAUUGAUACUGAUGGGCUUGAGUGGACUCGAGGUAGGCGGAAUUGACGGUGUAGCGGUGAAAUGCUUAGAUAUCGUCAAGAACACCGAUAGUGUAGACAGCUUACUAGAUUCUAACUGACGCUGAGGCACGAAAGUGUGGGGAUCAAACAGGAUUAGAAACCCCUGUAGUCC